rnacentral:tRNA from 1 species
UAGAAUGAAGCUCGCUGGAUUGAGUGUUUAGCUGUUAACUAAAAUAUUACGGGAUCAAGGCCCGUCUUUUUAG